CUUUAUUACAUGUUCGUUUUAUUAAAUCUAUGCACAUUAGAAGCAUAGGAAAUUGCCAGCCUUUAACAUUCACACACACGCAAAGAAUUAUACAAAAAAUACAUCAUCUUGAAUCCUGGUCUUCAAUUUCUUUCCACAAUUCCACAGAGCUGGUAAGGGGUAAAGAAAAAAAAAUGUUCCUAUCAUUGAGAUUUAUAAACUGAUUUCUUUCAUCCUCGGAAUCACUAGUUACUCACACCACAGCCUGUGGCUGCCGGCAGCAACACAUCAGCACUUGCAUGUAUUUAAUGCGGUAUCUUCUUAUUUGGGUAUUAUUUCUCAUUAAACCAAUCAGAAGAGGCUUCAAGGUAGAGAGGGAGAAGUGGGAGGUGAGAAAGGGGAAAUUUGAGCCAAGAGAAAUGCCACACCCAUUCCACAUGGAAACCACAACCAUGUAUGGUCGCUGAGUGAAAAGGACUUGAGUGCCCAGCUAAGAGCUGGAAGGCAAAACACCAAUGAGGUCCCCUCUGUGGAAUUCAGUCUUUCACCUCAGGAUAAAGGUUUUUGUAAUUCUCAACAAAACUAAAAUGAAAAGACAUUAACUAAAUACCAAAAUGGAUAGGACAGAGUUUCAGGAUGAGCUCAAGCAAGCAACACAGCUGGACCCAGGACAGCCAGAAAUGAACCCCCGUCAGGUUCACCUGUAUUUCAAAGACAGGCUCCCAGUAGCUUCCCAUGAUUCCAGGGAUUCUACAUGUUAGAAAUAAAGAACAAACUUGAAGAUUCUCGCUUGUCUGUUCAGGAUAACUGGGAUGUGCCCUAUGGUGCUGGCAGGUCCUCCCAGAUCACAAUUCCACAGCAGAAGAGAUAAACAUAGGACCUGGAAACCACUUUAAUGUGAAGAGAUGAAAUGCAGCAGAAGAAAUGUUCAUGUGAACAAAUGUGUAUCUUCCAAUAAAAAAGAAAUAUCAGUAGGCUGGG
rnacentral:lncRNA from 1 species